rnacentral:lncRNA from 1 species
CGGCAGCAGCAGCAGGAGGAGGCAAUGCCUGCUAGCAAUCUUCAAGGGCCGGCAAACUGAAAUCAUGGGAGAAAUGCCAGCUACCACUAAUAUCCAGGACCCGGAGCCAUGGGCUGAAAGGGUGGGUUCAGGACCUUUUGGAAAAUGUCACCAGACCCCUCCCCUCCAGAAGGGGAAGGCUAAUUAACAUUCCACAGGACAGACUGACCAUCAGCCACCUGCCAGUGGGAGAGGCCUAGAGCAGGUAAACACAUUCCACAGGACAGACCGACUAACGGACCAUCUACAUCCACAGACAAGGGAAGUCCCUGCCACCUCAUUCUCUAAAGACCAAUCAGUUUAAAAAGUCACACUGUUCUGCCAAUCACGUUGUGUCUAGUGGCUGCUGCUCUGAAAACUGUAUAAAGACUGACCAAACAGGCUGCAGGGGUGGGGGUGGGGUGUGGAUAGGGGUGGGGGUAUCACCGUCUCUUCUUUGGAUGUAGGGAGACCCCAAUGUGUUGGAACAAUAAAUUCCU